CGCUAGUAAUCGUGGAUCAGCAUGCCACGGUGAAUACGUUCCCGGGCCUUGUACACACCGCCCGUCACACCAUGGGAGUUGGUUUUACCCGAAGCCGGUGCGCUAACCUUGGAGGCAGCCGACCACGGUAAGAUCAGCGACUGGGGUGAAGUCGUAACAAGGUAGCCGUAGGGGAACCUGCGGCUGGAUCACCUCCUUUCUAAGAG
rnacentral:rRNA from 1 species